UCUUAGUAAGGUUUAUCAUUCUUUUUGGGUAUGACAAUGACACACUUAUCUUGUAUGAUUUUAAUUUUUAUGGUAAUCAGGUUAGAGUUUGUGUGUGGUUGUGGAGUUAUUUGUUGUACACUGUUACCAAGUUAAUCUGAAUUGUGCAUUUUCUUCUUUCUUUUGCAGAUAUAGAGAAGUUUUCUGCGCAUGCAGAUUGGGGGAGUUCUGAAGAAGUCCUUUGAAGAUGGUGCAGUGAAGCGUGAGAAGUUGUUCAUCACAUCAAAAAUUCGGUUGAUCUGCAGCUUGAUUAUGUCGAUACGUAUCCGGUAAGCAACAAGUUCUUUGAACAAAAGCUAAUUGUUUUAUAUUCCGACAGUUUCCAAGGUACAUAGUUCGUGAGAUAUUCUUUUGUUUAACAAAGAAAUACGAAUUUCUCCGCUGAAUAUAGAGAAAACUACUCUCAACUUGAUUGAUCGAUGCCAAUUUCAAGAUAGUUCAUUUAAAACUUAGUAAUCUUUCAUAAACCAGAAAACCCAAACAGAGUUCGAAACAAAGGAAAAUUCAAAUAAAAAACAUCCCAAAAAUAAAAAAA